rnacentral:lncRNA from 1 species
UCCUCGCGACGACCCGAGCUCGAGUCGAGCCGCUCCGCCAGGCAGACCCGCGACGCCCUGUUCGACUCCGGACGCCGCCCGCACGCAAAUCGCCAGAACAGGACUCAAGCCUUCCUAGUUCCACCCCUGACCACCCGAACCUUCCGCCCAGACGCAGCAACGCUGCCCCGCCUUCACCGGUGAUCCGCUCCAGCCCGUCCGUCCGAUGCCCCUGCAG